UAAUUGUGGCGUAUGCGUGUUGUUCUGUGUAAUAAUAAUUUAGUGUAAAUUUGUUAAUGUGUAACCUAAUCUAUGUUCGGUGGUACCGGUACAUACCGCUGCUGAGUUGAUGGUGGGUUCGAUGGCCGACACAGCGACUCCUGUCGAGCUGUGCGGCCGGAAAACUCGCCGGAUGGCGGGGCGACGAGGGGGUCGACACUAAUCGAUUUGGUUCAAUUGUCAUGCGAUAAGACGUAAUUUUAUUUAAUUAUUUGCAUUAUUCGCAACAGUUUUCAUUACAUUUGAUUUGAAAUCGAUUUUAUCCGAUUUUCUCCAUUUUUCAAAUUUUGGUCUGGUUUUCAACGAUUAUCUGCUUUCUCUCUCAUCAAAAUGGCAAAAAUCCGAAAUAUCCGGAAUAAUCGAAUAAAAUGACUAAAAUCGCCCAAUACUGAUUAAAAUCGCGACGCCGUGCAAUUUAUUUUGACAGCUCUUGCGUCGGUCCAUCAGCUGAUAAAUCAAAACAAGUUUGAACAGACAAAUCCAAAGAAAAAAAAUCAAUAAUUUAUUAUUUAGAUUGUUUGUCGAAUCCAUAGUUCAACAACUAUGAACUAUCUCGGGAAUGCAGACUGGCCAAACGACACCAAGUGAAAGACGUCUAGAGAGGCACAAAAACCGAAAUUAGGAGCAAUGAUUCCGAUCGGUACUGGGAAUGGAACAACGGUGGUCAUAGUUGCAUUGACAGAUAUAUUGAUUUCAGAACUGGGUGGAAAACUGCCAACAAAGGAUUACCAGGCAUAUCGGAAGAGGCCUCAGACGAGUACUGCAGAAUUAUUCGGGACUGCGGCUACCAGCAAACCGGUUACGAACACCUUUGGAGAGUCCCAUUUUCGCAGGAUUCGGUGCUCAGAGUCAAAUCAGCAGCCGGAGGAUUGUUAUCGAAAAUUGUCAUUACUUAAUGAUGAGAGCGCUGAAAGUGUAUCAAUUUUAAUAUAUUUUUUCUACAAAGUUGCCUUGUCAAAAGUGUCUAAACAGUACAAGUUUGAAGUUUAGGUAAAUAAGAAAUAAAAGUAACAGGUUUUGUUAGAUAAAAUUUUUUUUUGUUAGCUUUCGUAAAGAAAAAACGAGGGGCGCAAGAUGAGAUACGUGUUGAGAAAAGCUCGUCCAAAAAUAGGCUUUAAACCUAAUGCAGUUUCAAUCGCUUUGAAUCAUAGAAACCAAAGGUGCAAGUACACAGGGUCAAAUGUUUAACAAUAAGGAAUGUUUUAGUUCUGUUUGGCACCGAUGAAAAUUUGAUCGAGUCAUACCAGAUAUUUGAGGAUUGAUCUGUGUUUGGUCCAAUAUUUGACCCUGUGUACUCGCGUCUUAAGAAUCAUAGAAGGAAAUAGUCUAAGAGUACAUAAUUAGAUUUCUAUUGAAAAAGUCAUGAAGUUUCCAGUAAGUCUUGUGAAUAAGGCUUCUGAUCGCCGAUCCAGCAAGUUCGACUCCUGUUCUGGUCGGGAACUUUUCUCGUCUUCCCUGGAUAUAGUGUCAUUGUGCUAGCCCCACAAUAUAUGUACCUACGAGUUCAUGCAAUGAUGGGCAAAGAAAGCCAUUUAAAAACUGUGGAAGCGCUCAAAGAACAGUUAAAGAGGGGUAGGCCAAGUUCCAGUAGAAAUGUAGAGCGACAAAGAAGAAUUGUUUAAGAAGUCAUGGUAUCCAUUCCUUAAGUGAUACAUCUUGCUCUUUUACAUGAAACCUUCGAUCAGGCUCAAGGCCGAUUAUUUCAACCCGACCUACCCAAAAACCUAUCUUCGAAGGCGCUAAUGAAAACAUCAAGGGCUUGCUCAAAAUCUCCGGAAGUGGUGUACGAGUUAAAUGGGCCAGAGACACCAGGAAGAGUACAACAGUACUCUCAAGGAAUCUUCCCUCAAACCGAACACCGAACGUAUCCCAACCAUCUAUCAUGAUUCCAAAGCGAACGGCAACGAUGCACUACUCCCGAGACCACUCCACUACCGCCAAGAUAGAUCCAUCGGCCGAAUCCUAGGCCAAAUGGCUCUUCCACAAAACAAAAUCCGGCAGUCGAAACGCAAUUCGCCAGGCGGGAUACCCGGGAUACCAGAACCAGCCGUCGUUCGAAUGCUAUGCAAAAAGUCCAACCUUGAAUCCAAUUGUAAACAAAACUUACAAAAAAUCGAGAAAAUUUGACAUUUUGGGCUAGAGAUGUGCACCGGUUUUAUUCGAUUCGAUAUGGAUAUGAAAAAUUUAUAAUCGAUUUUAUCGGAUAUUUCAGAUAUGGGUGAUUUUGAUCGAUUUUUGUCAAUUUUCUUUCAUUUCAUUGAAAUUAUGAAAAAAAGAGAAUCCUUGUAAGUUUUGGCCAGUUUUGGCUUAAAAUCUAUCAUAUCUGGAAGAGUCGUCCCCCUCGCGGGGCGAGCGGUGUUGUGGGCCGGUACUCGGCCGACGGACCAGCGGGCGUUGCUGGGGGGGGGGGAUGCAGGCGUCUUCCCUCUUGGACGCAAUCGGCCGGCCGUGGACUAACCACCUUGGACGGCCGAGAGGGGAAAGCUCCUUUACGGUUAGGGCCUACGGCCCGAGCUAUUGGUCCUUCCUAGAGGAUCCACUGUCAUUUACGUUUAGGCGCGGGAACCGUUCCCGGUUCCGUGGGCCGAGCCGUGUGCUGGACGGAGACCUAUUCAAAGGUCCAACAAAAGAGGUCCUAUU